CGCCUUGCCAGCCCGCUCAGAACUUAAAGGAAUUGACGGGGCCCGCACAAGCGGUGGAGCACGUGGUUUAAUUCGAUGCAAACCGAAGAACCUUACCCGGGCUUGAAAUGCAUCUGACCGGCCUUGAAAGAGGUUUUUCCCCUUCGGGGCAGAUGUGUAGGUGCUGCAUGGUUGUCGUCAGCUCGUGCCGUGAGGUGUCGGCUUAAGUGCCAUAACGAGCGCAACCCUCAUCAUUAGUUACCAUCAGGUAAGGCUGGGGACUCUAAUGAGACUGCCAUCGUAAGAUGUGAGGAAGGUGGGGAUGACGUCAAAUCAGCACGGCCCUUACGUCCGGGGCGACACACGUGUUACAAUGGGUGGUACAAAGGGCAGCUACCUGGCGACAGGAUGCUAAUCUCCAAAACCACUCUCAGUUCGGAUCGGAGUCUGCAACUCGACUCCGUGAAGCUGGAUUCGCUAGUAAUCGCGCAUCAGCCACGGCGCGGUGAAUACGUUCCCGGGCCUU
rnacentral:rRNA from 1 species